GACUGGGGUGGUCGCCUCCAAAAAGGUAACGGAGGCUUUCAAAGGUAAGCUCAGUACGCUUGGUAACCGUACGGGGAGUGCAAUAGCAUAAGCUUGCUUGACUGUGAGGCAGACAAGCCGAGCAGGGUCGAAAGACGGAUAUAGUGAUCCGGUGGUUCUGCAUGGAAGGGCCAUCGCUCAAAGGAUAAAAGGUACGCUAGGGAUAACAGG
rnacentral:rRNA from 1 species